UGCCAGACGCCGCGGUAAUACGGAGGGUGCGAGCGUUAAUCGGAAUUACUGGGCGUAAAGCGCGCGUAGGUGGUUUAAUAAGCUAGCUGUGAAAGCCCCGGGCUUAACCUGGGAACUGCAGUUAGAACUGUUUGACUAGAGUAUAAUAGAGGGUGGCGGAAUUUCCUGUGUAGCGGUGAAAUGCGUAGAUAUAGGAAGGAACAUCAGUGGCGAAGGCGGCCACCUGGAUUAAUACUGACACUGAGGUGCGAAAGCGUGGGGAGCAAACAGGAUUAGAUA
rnacentral:rRNA from 1 species